AGCUGGUCUGAGUGCAGUGGUGUUUACAACUAAUUGAUCACAACCAGUUACAGAUUUCUUUGUUCCUUCUCCACUUCCACUGCUUCACUUGACCUUUUAAAA
ensembl:Y_RNA Y_RNA Y RNA